rnacentral:misc_RNA from 1 species
AUGCUAUAUAAUCCUCCAACAAAUUAUGUCCACCAAGUGGCAGAGUCACUGAAUAAGAUUUUUGAGACUAAGUGGAAGUCACUACAGGAAAAAUGGAAUCAUGAAAUAUCAGAGUCUGGUGGUGGAAAAAUUUUGAGCAGGAAGCCAAAGGAAAUUAGUGCCACAAGACAGAAUUGUCCUGAAACAUCCCGUUUGCGCAAUGUUCUUUUACCCAAGAUGUCAAAACCAUCUGAAUACAAGGCAAUGAGGAGUUCUUCAAAUGCAAAAGCUGCAGAAGUAAAGCUUUUUAAGCCUGCAGAAAACUGCAUGCACAAGGCAUUACUGCUAAAUUCUUGCAAAGGUAUGAAGUUGCGGAACACAGUUUCUGCUUAUGGCUCUUUAUUGGAGCUAAUCUGCAGUGUCUGCUUUAUGGGUCUUUAUUGGAGCUAAACAGCAGUGUGUCUUAUAGGCACUAGUGGUGGCAAAUGUGCUUGUU